GGAACCUUGUUGCUUAGGUUCUUAGAAGUUCUCUAAAAAGAUUUAAUGGGAGAUUGACGGUAAUUGGUAAACCUACC
rnacentral:tRNA from 1 species